AUUGAACGCUGGCGGCAGGCCUAACACAUGCAAGUCGAACGGUAGCACAGAGAGCUUGCUCUCGGGUGCCGAGUGGCGGACGGGUGAGUAAUGUCUGGGAAACUGCCUGAUGGAGGGGGAUAACUACUGGAAACGGUAGCUAAUACCGCAUAACGUCGCAAGACCAAAGAGGGGGACCUUCGGGCCUCUUGCCAUCAGAUGUGCCCAGAUGGGAUUAGCUAGUAGGUGGGGUAACGGCUCACCUAGGCGACGAUCCCUAGCUGGUCUGAGAGGAUGACCAGCCACACUGGAACUGAGACACGGUCCAGACUCCUACGGGAGGCAGCAGUGGGGAAUAUUGCACAAUGGGCGCAAGCCUGAUGCAGCCAUGCCGCGUGUAUGAAGAAGGCCUUCGGGUUGUAAAGUACUUUCAGCGGGGAGGAAGGCGAUAAGGUUAAUAACCUUGUCGAUUGACGUUACCCGCAGAAGAAGCACCGGCUAACUCCGUG
rnacentral:rRNA from 1 species